CAUCAUAAGGCUACAGACACUGCCAGCCAUGUCCUGCCUCUAAAAACCACAAAGAUACUGUUUUUUAGCAUUUUAACUAGAUCAUUACUGCUUGCUUUUUUUUUAACGAAUUGAUAUUUUUUUCUAGACAUUAAAAGCAUCGUUUUUUUUUAAUAAUAAGAAGGAGAGAACAUGUCUUCCCCCGUGCAGCAGAGGAGCUCUGGUGUUCAGCUGGUGAGCGCGGCGCUGCUGCUGCUGCUGCUCUCGCUCUCCGGUUGUUCGAGCAUGGAUGUGCUCGUGCCCAAUAGCAUCAAUGCACUGAAUGGAACAACUGUCAAAAUCCCCUGCACAUUUAAUUCCUGCUAUAAGAUGGACCCUGCCAAGUUUGUCAUGAACUGGACCUACCAAGAAUCACUUAAUGACACAGAAGAGAUGUUUAUGAUAUACCAUAAGAAAAAAGGAAUGAUAGCUCUGCGUUCGGACCGGUUUGGAGAGAGGGUCAUGUUUGGCGGGAACCUGGAUAAGAAUGACCUGUCAAUCACCCUGUCAGAUGUUCAAAUCGAGGAUGAGGGGAUUUACAACUGCUAUGUGAUAAACCCCCCGGACCGCAUCCACGGAAGAGGUGCCAUAACGCUCAAUGUUGUCACCGAACUGCCCCCUCCGAGGGAUUCGACCAUCGCAGUGGCGAUCGGGGCGUCAGUAGGCGGAGCAUUAGCUCUGCUGAUCCUUUCCAUGGUAGUUUUGAAAUGUCUUCGUCGACACCGGAAACAGGAACUGAUUUCAGAGGAGAAGAUGGAGGAGGAGGGCAAACUGGAUGCUGAAGGUGUUGCGGAGGAGGGAACCAAACAACCAUAGCUGAGUCAUCCGAUUGAACCAGCGGCCUGUGGAUCUCUCAACACCCAACACCUCCUCUGACAUGUGCACCCUCUUCCUGAAGAUCUAUAGUAACCACUGCUUGAAUCAUCUUCAACUGAUACUUCCAUCCCUUCUGCAUGUGUGUGUGAGUGUGAGUGUGUGUGUGUAUGUGUACUGAAUGUGUCUAUGUGUGCGUGCGUAUUUCUAUAUGUCUGUGUGAGAUGUGUCUUUUUUCCUUGAAAUAAGUCAGGGAACACUUUUCUGCAACCUAACUACUAAACAUAUAUUACUUUAUUCAUAGCUAUACAAGUCAACAUCAGUGGCAUUAGAAGUCCAUCUCAUAAUAGUUAUUGUCAUUUUCAUCACACACUAUAGGACAGGAUAGGGCUGGGCGGUAUGAACUCAAAUUUGUACCACAGCAUAGUUUGAAGAUGGAGAGAGUAACAAUAUCACAGCAUCACAAUAUCUAAUUUUAUUGGGAAGUUAAAUCUAUUAUUAAUGAACUAUUAAUAACAUUAACAGUGGUUGUGGAGGCAGUUGUGAUACUGCAAAUCCAGUGUCUGUCAACAUUGCCUUAAAGCCAUGUCGGUCAACUGCCUGUAUAUUGGGCCCCGUGUCUUAACAAACAUGCACAUUUAGAGCAUUCUGAAACAUUCCUCAUACCUUUGGAGCUUUUUCUUGCAAAAACUAUUGCCCUGCAUAGUCGUCAGAAUCUAGUCCUGGUACUCAGCUCAAACAACCCGAUCUAACAUGUAUAAAUAGCACAACAUUACAAGGACAUUCCGCUUGUCAUGGCGCAUUUUAGGCUUUUCGCAUGUCUUCUGUACACCACGCAACAAAACUACGGUAACGUCCGCGGUUAAG